rnacentral:rRNA from 1 species
GGGAAUCUACCUAGUUCUACGGAACAACUGAUGGAAACGUCAGCUAAUACCGUAUACGCCCUACGGGGGAAAGAUUUAUCGGAAUUAGAUGAGCCCGCGUAAGAUUAGCUAGUUGGUGGGGUAAUGGCCUACCAAGGCGACGAUCUUUAGCUGGUCUGAGAGGAUGAUCAGCCACACUGGGACUGAGACACGGCCCAGACUCCUACGGGAGGCAGCAGUGGGGAAUAUUGGACAAUGGGCGCAAGCCUGAUCCAGCCAUGCCGCGUGAGUGAUGAAGGCCUUAGGGUUGUAAAGCUCUUUCAGUAGGGAAGAUAAUGACGGUACCUACAGAAGAAGCCCCGGCUAACUUCGUGCCAGCAGCCGCGGUAAUACGAAGGGGGCUAGCGUUGUUCGGAUUUACUGGGCGUAAAGCGCACGUAGGCGGUUUGUUAAGUCAGAGGUGAAAUCCCGGAGCUCAACUCCGGAACUGCCUUUGAUACUGGCAAGCUAGAGUCCGGAAGAGGUAAGUGGAACUCCUAGU